GGAAAGAGAGAAGGAAGCCCUUGGAAGGCAGCAAGUUAGUGUUGGCAACCGUAGUAAUGAAGUAACUAAUAAUUAAACGACAUUUCAUGAAGCAUCUUUUCUUCCGCUGUUUCAUUAGCUCCUCACAACGUCCCUGUGAUGCCAGUAUCCUCAAGCCCAUUUUACGGAGGAAGAAACCAAGAGCCAGAAGAUCUGAUUCAAGGAGGCCUUAUACCUUUUAACGGGAAAAGGAAAAAGGCAAGGAUUGCCAGAUUGGAUAUAGAAGUAGGAUCCAAGUAUAGGCUGUCCUCAAGAGAAUCACUUUAGAUCCAGACACAAGUCGGCUGAAAGUGAAAGGAUGGAAAAAAUAUUCCAUGCAAAAAUAGUAACCAAAAGAGAGCUUGGUUGGCUAUACUAACAUCAGACAGAAUAGACUUUAAGUAAAAAAUACUUACAAGGGAUGAAGAAGGACAUUAUAUAUCAAAAAAAAAGGGUCAGCUCACCAAGAAGAUAUAAAAAUUAUAAACAUAUAUGCCCCUAAAAACAGAGCCCCAAAAUAUAUAGCACAAACACAGACACAAUUGAAGGGGCAAAUAGAGUAUCUUAUAAUAAUAGCUGAAGAGUUCAACAUGCUACUUUCAAUAAUGGGUAGAACAUCUAGACAGAAGUUCAGUAAGGAAGAAGGAGAUUUAAUCCUACAAACCAACUACACCUAAAAGACUUAUGCAGAACACUGCAUUCAACAAUAGGAGAAUGCAAAUUAUUUUCCAGUGUACAUGAAUCGUUCUCCAGGAUAGACCAUAUGUUAGGCCACGAAUAAAUCUUAAUACAUUUAAAAAGAUUGAACUCAUGUGGAGUAUCUUCUCUGAUCAGAAUGGAAUGAAGCUAGAAAUCAAUAAUAGAAGGAAAAGUGGAAAAUUCAAGAAUAUGUGGAAAUUAAACAACACACUCUUAACAACCAUGAGUCAAAGAAGAAAUCACAAGGGGAAUUAGAAAAUACUUAGACCCAAACGAAAAGGAAAACACAACAUAGAACUACUUGGGAAAACACAACAUAGAACUACUUGUGUGGUGCAGUGAAGGCAGUGCUGAGGGAAAAUUAUAUCUGUAAAUACUUACAUUAAAAAAAAAAGAUGUCAAAUCAGGAAUGACCCCUUAAGGAACUAGAAAAAGAAGAGCAAACUA